rnacentral:rRNA from 1 species
GACGAACGCUGGCGGCGUGCUUAACACAUGCAAGUCGAACGGAAAGGCCCUGCUUUUGGGGGGUGCUCGAGUGGCGAACGGGUGUGAAACACGUGAGUAACCUGCCCAUGACUUUGGGAUAACUUCAGGAAACUGGGGCUAAUCCCGGAUAGGCGCUCCUGCCGCGUGGGGGGGGUUGGAAAGUUUCGGCGGUUGGGGAUGGACUCGCGGCUUAUCAGCUUGUUGGUGGGGUAGUGGCUUACCAAGGCUUUGACGGGUAGCCGGCCUGAGAGGGUGACCGGCCACAUUGGGACUGAGAUACGGCCCAGACUCCUACGGGAGGCAGCAGUGGGGAAUAUUGCACAAUGGGCGGAAGCCUGAUGCAGCAACGCCGCGUGCGGGAUGACGGCCUUCGGGUUGUAAACCGCUUUCGCCUGUGACGAAGCGUGAGUGACGGUAAUGGGUAAAGAAGCACCGGCUAACUACGUG